rnacentral:lncRNA from 1 species
AAAAACCAACCCCCCCAAACCCCAUUUCUUCCACCUUUUCCCUCAUUUCCCUUCCCCCCCCCAACAUCGAAGCCUCAAAACACACCCUCCUCACGCCGUGGCUACCUUUUUCCCACCGGUGGCCACCGGAGGUUCUUCGGCCAAUCUUUUGCGGCCGAAAAAUUUCGGAGGGGGGGGGACGACGACAACGACGACGGAUUUGGGGACCCCCCGGCACGAAUGUGGCUUCUGCGGCAAAUCCUUCGGGAGCGAAAGCGCUCGGCAAAUCCACCUCCGCUCCCACACCGGGGAGAGACCCUACAAGUGCAACGUCUGCGGCAACCGAUUCACCACCCGGGGCAACCUGAAAGUUCAUUUUCACCGCCACCGAGAAAAAUACCCCCACGUUCAGAUGAACCCCCACCCUGUCCCUCAACACCUGGAUUAUCUUCUCCUCCCGCCCCCGGUGACCACCCAAGGGUUGAGCGGGGCCACCAGACUCAACGCGGCUACUCAAAACCCAGCCGGGGCUACUCAAAAUCUGGCCGGAAACGCCCAAAAUCUCGGUGGAACCACUCAAAAUCUUGGUGGAACCACGCAAAACGUCACCGGGACCACUCAAAACGUCACCGGGACCACCCAAAACGUCAGCGGGACCACCCAGAACGUGGCCGGGGCAACCCAACAGCUCGCCGGGGCCACUCAACCUCUUGGUGCCACCAGCCAAGUCAACACGGCCACCCAACAACUCAACACAACCACCCAACAACUCAACGCGGCCACCCAACCGGUCAACGUGACCACCCAACACCUCAACGGGGCCAACCAAGUCAAUGGGGCCACCCAACAACUCAACGUGACCACUCAACAUCUCACCGGGACCACCCAACCAGUCAAUGCGGCCGCUAACCAAGUCAACGUGACCACCCAACAGGCCAACGUGGCCAACCAAGUCAACGCAACCACCCAACUCAACGUGGCCACCCAACAGGUCAACGUGGCCGCCGACCAACUCAACGUGGCCACCCACCAAGUCGAAGUGACCACCCAACAGGUCGACACGACCACCCAACUGGCCAACACGGCCACCAACCAAGUCAACGUGACCACCCAGCAGGUCAACGCGACCGCUCAACCUCUUCCUGGGGCCAACCGAGUCAAUGCAGCCACCAACCAGGCCAAUGUGGCCAGCAACCAAGUCAACGCGGCCACCCAACAUCUCAGCUCAACCAACCAAGUCAAUGUGGCCACCAACCAAGUCAACGUGGCCACCCACCAAGUCAACACGCCCACCCAACACCUCAACUCAACCAACCAAGUCAACGUGGCCACCAACCAAGUCAACGUGGCCACCCACCAAGUCAACGCUGCCACCAACCCCCUGACGGUGGCCACCCACCCCCUGACGGUGGCCACCCACCACCUGGGCGCCUUCCACAAGCUCCUCCUCUUGAAGGCCACUGAGGGAAGAUCUAAAGCUGGGGGAGGAGGUGACGAAAACACCCCCCCGGGUAAAACCUGGGCUUUUUUCGC